rnacentral:rRNA from 1 species
CCUACGGGUGGCAGCAGUGGGGAAUAUUGGGCAAUGGGCGCAAGCCUGACCCAGCAACGCCGCGUGAAGGAAGACGGCUUUCGGGUUGUAAACUUCUUUUCUGAGGGACGAAGAAAGUGACGGUACCUCAGGAAUAAGCCUCGGCUAACUACGUGCCAGCAGCCGCGGUAAUACGUAGGUGGCAAGCGUUAUCCGGAUUUAUUGGGUGUAAAGGUCGUGUAGGCGGGAAAGUAAGUCAGAUGUGAAAACUCAGGGCUCAACCCUGAUCCUGCAUUUGAAACUGUCUUUCUUGAGUGCUGGAGAGGCAAUCGGAAUUCGGUGUGUAGCGGUGAAAUGCGUAGAUAUACGGAGGAACACCAGUGGCGAAGGCGGAUUGCUGGACAGUAACUGACGCUGAGGCGCGAAAGCGUGGGGAGCAAACAGGAUUAGAUACCCCAGUAGUC